CCCAAACAUUUUAUAUGAGAAUAUUCAUGGGAGAGUAUGAUGGUAGGAAGAUGAACCUGGUUUGGACUCUUCCUGCACUACAGCACCAUCACCACAUCCCUCACUGUCAUUCUUGUAGCCCAUCUGAGAGUCCAUGGACUCAAUGGUUGCUUUGAGUCGGCCCACCACUUUUUUGUGGGCUGCAGGCACUUCUGCUUCUAGCUCCACCAUUCC
rnacentral:lncRNA from 1 species